GUAUAGCAUGGAUAUAUUCUGCUCCCUAUGAGCUUUCAAAUGCACUUGGCUCUUUUCUCCAGUUGGCUGCAUGGAACCAGAACUCGGACUCAGGUCUCUUUUCCUACUGCAGCUCAGGGUGGUGAGGGCACCAGCAAACAAUAACCUGUUUUCCUGCCCUGUGGCAGGGUCGGCGAUGGGCUGGUGUUUCCCGGAUGGAACAGACAUGAUCCAGAGACGUUUCAGAUUUGGACAGAGGGUCAGCAGAGAACCGAGAGCUUAUCUGGGCUUAUCUGGGCUCACAGGGGCCUGUGCUGGCCUGGACCCACACAGGCCGUGGGGGAUGUACAGGGAGCUCUCUUGCAUCUGAAGACACCUUAGUUUUGUGUGUUGCCAUGAGUUCUUACUACAUGUUAUCCGCUCCAAUGCAUCCUAAGCAGAGAUUAUUAAAUGUAUAACUCAGUAAUAAUAAACAGGUUAAUUAUAGCACAUCA